rnacentral:rRNA from 1 species
UACGGAGGGGACUAGCGUUGUUCGGAAUUACUGGGCGUAAAGCGCACGUAGGCGGAUUUGUAAGUCAGGGGUGAAAUCCCGGGGCUCAACCUCGGAACUGCCUUUGAUACUGCAAAUCUCGAGUCCGGAAGAGGUGAGUGGAAUUCCUAGUGUAGAGGUGAAAUUCGUAGAUAUUCGGAGGAACACCAGUGGCGAAGGCGGCUCACUGGUCCGGUACUGACGCUGAGGUGCGAAAGCGUGGGGAGCAAACAGG